AUCAGAAGAGAGUUAUAGACGUCCAUCAUAUUUUAGGCUUUGUUACUGAAUUGGGUGCAAAUAAAUAGGGAAAGUCCGCUGAUCUCUUCCUAAAAGGCUAAAACCUAGCAUCUAAUCAAUAGGAUUAGGCUUUAUUGAUUAGCCUGUUCAGUCACCAGGAUUUUAGGCUUAUUAAUUAGCCUACUUAUUUAAAUAACUGAAAAAUUGGAAGUUCCGAAGUAGAAGACAUCUAAACCUAACCAAAGACAGCAAAAGGGUUCACUGUUUGCUGUUUGCCUAUUCGUUGGUUGAUAUGUGUGGGUCCCUCUUCAGCCUCGUAAGACUUUUUGCGUUCUUUUAUAUUAUCAACUAUAAGAGUUGCAGUAGGCUGUACCUGCUAGAAAUUCCAGUUGUGCAAUUUUAUGCUGGAGCUUACCUUCUUUAUGUUAUUUUAGAAGAGCUUGUCUGAGAUUUUUCUUCGAUAUCAUGAAUUUCUCUGAAAAUAUUAAACAAUUUACUUGUGAGCUGCAGGCUGAUCUGUUUCUAGCUCCACAGCUUGAUGGAGCGAUCAAAAGGUUCAACGUGGAUAUGGGCCCAUUUCCUAUUCUAGCAAAGUUGCAUGAUGCGUACAGUGAGCUACAGGCAUUUCAAGAUGCAGCACCAGAAAAUCAGCCAGAUUCUCCUCCCUCCACUAGUUAAACCAGUGAGUGACGAUGCAUUUAGCAGCUCAAGCCAUAGGCAUUUUAUGGGACAUCCUAAUUAUUAUAUGCACAUCAUCCCUUAUUCUCUUUUAUUACUACUGUUGCUAUUAUUAGGAAAAUUAUCCAAUUUAGUUUUUGAAUGUUGGUCAAUGUUACAAUUUAGUAUCAAAAAUUUUUUUCAUUAUAAUCCCCGAAUUUUUAAAUUUGUUUCGUAAGCACUGACUUUGUUGAACUUUAAAUAGAAAAAACAUAAACACUUUAUUCUUGUUUGGGAACACAAAAUUAAAGGGAAAGACUUGGGGCCAUGGCCAAGAGGAGAGUGACAGUGAGACAGGGAAAGGAAGACAAUCUUGCAAUUCUUCUGCAAAUAUCUAAACUGGGGGUGUUUUGGUUGAUUAUGCUUAGCAGCCUUGUGGGAGUUCCUCUUGCAAUUCUUCUGCAAAAUAUUUAAACUGGGGGUGUUUUGGUUGAUAUGCUUAGCAGCCUUGGGGGAGUUCCUCUUGUUCUCGUCCUGCUUGUUCUCGAAGAACUCCUCCUCUCAUGGUCGUGAAUAACCCAAGCUUUCACGACCUCUCUCCUGAACCUGUCCAACAGUCUCUACUCCAAUUUGUGGUCCCAUAAUCACCUGUACAUUGUACAUCAAUCUGAAAAAAGGGUGUUUGUGUAUGUGAGAAAUGGGCAUAUACAGAUGGCAGUUUGCAGACAGAGACGAAGGUGACGAAGAAUCUUGGCGUGCCAUUGAAACCAAUCCCUUUUUGGGCUUUUGGGCCUGUGAAGAUGAUGGGAGAGAGAUAGGAAGAUGGAAGUUUCGGCUGUGAGGGAGGUGGGUUUGAGAGGAAAA